rnacentral:rRNA from 1 species
AGAACGAACGCUGGCGGCGUGGAUAAGACAUGCAAGUCGAACGGGUUUAAUUUCGGAGCAAUUCGGAAUUAGGCCAGUGGCGAACGGGUGCGUAACACGUGAGUCAUCUGCCUGAAAGUGGGGGAUAGCUCGUCGAAAGGCGAAUUAAUACCGCAUACGCCCCGAAGCAAUUCGGGGUAAAGCCGGGGCAACCUGGCGCUUUUAGAGGAACUCGCGGCCUAUCAGCUUGUUGGGGGGUGACGGCCCACCAAGGCGACGACGGGUA